CAAGAGAAAGCCAAACCUGCCGUAAGGCAGGGACGGAAAGCUACGGGUCUAUUAGAUAGCCGGGCUGCCUGAA
rnacentral:ncRNA from 1 species